GCUUGUCUCAAAGAUUAAGCCAUGCAUGUCUAAGUGUAAAUAAGUCUAUACUGUGAAACUGCGAAUGGCUCAUUAAAUCAGUUAUCGUUUAUUUGAUGAUCUCUUACUACUUGGAUAACCGUAGUAAUUCUAGAGCUAAUACAUGCACAAAAUCCCGACUUACGAAGGGGUGUAUUUAUUAGAUGGAAACCAAUGCGGGGCAACCCGGAUUAUGGUGAUUCAUAAUAACUUUCAGAUCGAUCGCAAGAUCGAUGCAUCAUUCAAGUUUCUGCCCUAUCAGCUUUGGAUGGUAGGGUAUUGGCCUACCAUGGCUUUAACGGGUAACGGAGAAUUAGGGUUCGAUUCCGGAGAGGGAGCCUGAGAAACGGCUACCACAUCCAAGGAAGGCAGCAGG
rnacentral:rRNA from 1 species